rnacentral:rRNA from 1 species
UGGGGAAUAUUGCGCAAUGGAGGCAACUCUGACGCAGCAACGCCGCGUGAAGGAUGAAGGUCUUCGGAUUGUAAACUUCUGUCUUUGAGGACGAUAAUGACGGUACUCAAGGAGGAAGCCACGGCUAACUACGUGCCAGCAGCCGCGGUAAUACGUAGGUGGCAAGCGUUGUCCGGAUUUACUGGGUGUAAAGGGCGUGUAGACGGGUAAAUAAGUUAGAUGUGAAAUGCCGAGGCUCAACCUCGGAGCUGCAUUUAAAACUGUUUAUCUUGAGUGUGGGAGAGGAAAGCGGAAUUCCUAGUGUAGCGGUGAAAUGCGUAGAUAUUAGGAGGAACACCAGUGGCGAAGGCGGCUUUCUGGACCAUAACUGACGUUGAGGCGCGAAAGCGUGGGGAGCAAACA